CUUAAAAAACCCCCCCCCCCCCCCCCCCCCCUUUCUUUCUGGUUGGGUUGAGCGUCACAAUCUGCAGGUAACAGGCAGAUUAGGUGUUGCGCGCCUGGGCGGUUGAGCUGGGCUCCGUUCUAAGCUGGGCGUAUGGAUAGAUUCAAGAGAGAGGAUGUAUGAGCAUCUGUGUGUCACACGUGUGUCCAUAGUGGGUCGUCUGUGCGUGUGUGCACCCACAUGGUGCGUGCGCACCCCAUCCACCCCCCACCCCCACCCCUGCACAAAAGUCCGUAGAUCCCCGUUCCGGUUUGACUGCAGGGAGCUCUGAAUCCGGGGCUGUUAGAAAGCAAAAACAAAUCACUGUCUCCGCUUCUGCUUCUGAAACGAGACUCGGUAACUGCAUUUCCUGUCCCACGAGAUAUGCAAAAGCAAUGCAAUAAUAUCCAUUUUAAAAUACGAUUGUGAGUUGUGUCAGCAUUAAAAUUCUAUUUUAAAAAAACACAAAAUUUAAGGGAAAAACUCAAGAAGACAUUUUGCUUCGAUAUAUUCUGUGUAAUGUUUUAUUGCAUUGAUAAUGUUUCUGUUGAAGAAACUGUUAUACUUGAAUUCAGGUCAGUUUCAGUAUUUUUCAAAUAUUUUUUUAAAAACUGAAUUGCAAUUGUGCCAAGCAAAUACAAUGACUUAAGUUUGUUUUAAAAUUCACUUCUUGUAUAUUUUGCUGCAUGUAAAGUAAAUCAUUUUGUAUUUGGAGUGUGACAAGCUUUACCUUUGAACUCUGAAGUGCUUUUUCUACAUGUGGUUGGGGAGGAGAUGGUUUUCUUUCAUUUGCAAAGUGAACAAAGGUAACCCUGGUGUCACUCCUCACUCUGCUCUCCACUGGCAGGUCUGGGAGGUACCAUUUUGCAUAUCCUGUGUUUUGUUUCCAUUUCCCUCAAUAUCUUUCCCAAACCAGGUGGUAAGACAGUCCAUUGCUACAUCUUGCUUUGCAAGGUCAGCACAUGUUUCAUCCAGGUCUUCACUUUCUGCCUUCUGCUGUUCUCUGUGGAAACUUGUCCAGGAUGCUCCUGUGGAGGUGGCUGGCUUUCCAAAGUGCUCCCGCAGCACACGUCCCAACUGAGAGGAUGAGGUGACAGAUGAUCAGACUGGGGCAGUGUAAGACAGAUUCAUCUUUGACACAGUGAUCUACCCAAACACAGAUAGCCAUAGCCAUGCCUAGAGAAAGGUGAUGGGAUGGAACAGUGGUCCUUCUAGAAACUACUCAUCCUUUCCUUCUUCCAAAGCAGGGAGUCAGAGAAGAGGGCGGGACAUUGGGCUCUCAUAUAGGGAUGAAAGGAGCAGUUUGUGUGGGGCUUUUAUUCGGGCUCCUCCGUGUCUUGUCUGCCUUCAGCAACCCUUACAAUCAGCACCAGGUCCUUCAGUUGUGUCUUAACAGGAAUGGUUGAAAAGGAAGGACUAGGGAAAAUAAGACUUGACCAUUCACCCAGAAUUUACCUAGGUACGGAAUAUCUUCCCAUCCCACUGUCCUAACAGUCUUUUGGGGAGAUUAUGUGAGAAUCUGCUAGAAAUUCCAGCAAGGAUAUUCUUCAUUGAAGAUGAAUCUACUCUUGCAGGCUGUUUCAUGAAAAUGCAUAUAGGUACCCAGUGUCCACAGGUCAACCAAAGUCUAGAAACAGGUGUCUCCUAGGAUUUCCAUGUGCUGUUGACCAGGCGUUUAUGCACCCUUUGCAAUACCAGUAAUGGCUUCUAGAAUGUAGAGUAGAUGGCAUCCUUUGUCUUGUUUCCACAAAGUUCUACGACUGUGUUGAUAUCACUGUAGUGACGAUGAAGAGGGGAGCCCUCUGAUUGGCUGUCUGUUUCUUGCAUACAUCUGACCCUGGGGAAGUGUGGUGUUUUGAUUGCUCCUACACACAGACAUGCAUGCUCUGCAUGCUCAGUCUCCUCAUGCUGCCUUGAUUUCCUCUGGAAAUCUGCAUUGUCAGAUUCUACUGACCAAUGGCAUAAGCUACAGGCCAAGCUCCUGCAGCUCCUGUCAGGACUCUGUCCAGUGUGGUUUCCAAACCCCCCCUACACCAGUCAUAUCCACAGGCUGCCUUCUCCCUGAUGGCCAAGAAGACCAGAGUAGCCUUUCACUCAUACACUGCACCCUGCAAGAAUAGCAGCAUCAGGGACGAUGGGCCCCUUGCCCUUGGUUGCUAGAGGGAAAGGAGGUUCAGCCGCCAGUGGGUCUUUCAUGCUUGGCUUAAUGACUACCUGAAUAAGUUUGACACAUGCUGCCUGCCACCAGGACAGACGGGAACAGUGUGUAGGAAAGCCAGUGAACAUCCAGGCCAGACUAUCUACUCUCCACCCAACAUGGAAUUUCCCCAGUGACUGUUUUGAACAUGAUUAUCAGGUCUUCUGCAAGCCUGAGAGUCCCUGAAUGGCAGGGGAAUUAGGCUGCAGCUGGGGACCAAAGGUACAUGAAGGAGCAUAGACCAUGUGCUUACAUCUGUCCUAUGACUAGCUUUCUCUUUCAUUUCCAAUCUUUUCAUAUGUGAGGCCAUAUUAUACAAAGUCCAGUUGGUUCCUUUCUGCCUGGUCCUAGAAGGUUCUUCAUAUCUUCAGGUUAAAAGAGAGACACUUUCCUAGUCCUAGUUGAUUUGUAAAUGUCUUCCCUAUUAAUCAUGGUUCCCAUCUUUCUUAACCUGUCUAGGAAUCCAAGGCCCUAGGAAUCUGCCUUUUACCUUCCUCUAGUACCCUGGUUUAAAAUUCUGGGUACUGUGAACUGAAGGUCUGUUUCUUUCUCACAGUUCUCAGCCAUCCAGAGCUCCAGAGACCCUAACAGCAGGCAGCGCUUCCUUUGCCCAAAUCAGCACAUUUCUGAGAACACUUGAAGUCAGCAGAAGGAAAGUGUCUAUUGUACAGAGGCCAGGAGACACAUUCCACAGCUCGUGAGGGCAGGCCAAGAGAGCAAGAAUCCAGGUCAAGCAUCGAGUCAAAUCUGGUCAUCAGGGCUUUUAGCCUUCCCAUACCACAUUUCAAAUGUCUCCAAGAGGGGAAGGAUGGCCCCUCCAUCCUGGGACCUUGAGUGACUGAAAUGCCCUCACUCGGGAGCUAGAAACAAUUGAGUAGGACCUGAGGAAGGAUUGUUUGGCUUUCAGAAGAGCUACUCAGAGCCCAGAGAAGCUAAAACUUGUUGUCUCUGCUAGCUAUAAGGAAGACAAGGCCAGGAAAAAUACAAUGGAAAUGUGAAAUGUCAUAUCACCAGAGCCAAACUGCCUCAGGUGCUCACUGCUUUGGAGAUGUAACCCCUCAUCCCCAUGGGAAAUCCUAUGCACCCCAAUUUCCCAGAAUCUAAAUGUAUGAAGGCUACAGAACAGGUGACAUGCCACUCACUCCAGCAGAAAUGAGUCAAUUAUUGCAAAUUUGCCACCUAAAAUUUCCCUUGUGUACCACUCAGCAGGGUCACUACAGAGACAGUUUGGGGAGGCAGAGGCUGUAGGGAGUCAGAGGGGGAUUCCAUUUUCCAUUUUGGGGGAGCAGUGUGAAAGUACCGGGAGGUUGAACCAAGGACCUUCCUUGUGCAUGCUGGACAAGUGCUUUAGCUUUUAUUUGAAACAGCCUCUGCCUGCUAAGACUUCCCAGCAUGGAGAACUACACCAAGGGUAAAAGGAGGAGAGAACUCUUGGGAAUUGACGACAGGUGAUUCGUAAGCAAGCAAUCCCUGCAGAGGGAAGGCCCUUUAGAAGGCAUCACAGUGAGCCAUGAGCUAUGGGCACCUUUCUGUUCACCACACAGCACAUUUCCACAUCUGCAUCCCAGCCCCUAGACUUGAAAUCCACCCCUCAGCCUUCCUACCAGACCAUACACCCAUCUGCCCUGCCCUGCUUGGACAUGUGUUUCCCGCUCACUGCCCAUAACAAAGCCUGAGCGGCAGAGGAACAACGGGGUUUACACACUCUGUGGCGGUAGCAGUUAAGAACAACCUGUGGGGAAAGAAGUCAGUGAGAAACGGGGUGGCAGAUCCCCAGGAGUGAACACUGCAAUGUCUGCCUCUCUCAUAACACUACCAUUCCACUUUAAUCUGCCAGUGUUGCUAAGGAAAACGUCCCUUCAUGUAAAGGGUCCACAUAAAGCAGAUGCCACCCCCACCUCUCCAUGUGUCUGCUCAGUCCAUUUUUAUGUUCCCGAGAAAACCUGUGUCAUGUGCCAUGCCUGUUCCCAGAGAGGCAUGAAGAGAUGAACAGGCUUCUGUGUGACUCAUAUACUUCUGCCCAUCCCACACCCUGCCCCUCCAGGCUCCACGACACCACAGUCUGACUGUUGUAAAUAUUGUUGUACAGUUUGUAAUCAUCAAAUAAUCCUGUUGUCAAAGGCCCUGCCUGCUGCGCCUUCUCCCCCUCGAGCAAGGCCAGGGAAUCUAGAAGGGAAAACCUUCAAGGAGAGCUUCAGGGUCCAUCUCUGUGUGAGACGCUACUGUAUAUUCCUGUAAGAUUGCAUUUUUAUCUAAGGAAUGAUGUUAUUUAAAAAACAAACAAAAAACGCAAAAAAGAAUUGCAAAUAAAUUUCUUAACAAUGUCAA